ACGGCGGGUGCUAACGUCCGUCGUGAAGAGGGAAACAACCCAGACCGCCAGCUAAGGUCCCAAAGUCAUGGUUAAGUGGGAAACGAUGUGGGAAGGCCCAGACAGCCAGGAUGUUGGCUUAGAAGCAGCCAUCAUUUAAAGAAAGCGUAAUAGCUCACUGGUCGAGUCGGCCUGCGCGGAAGAUGUAACGGGGCUAAACCAUGCACCGAAGCUGCGGCAGCGACGCUGAUGCGUUGUUGGGUAGGGGAGCGUUCUGUAAGCCUGCGAAGGUGUGUCGUGAGGCAUGCUGGAGGUAUCAGAAGUGCGAAUGCUGACAUAAGUAACGAUAAAGCGGGUGAAAAGCCCGCUCGCCGGAAGACCAAGGGUUCCUGUCCAACGUUAAUCGGGGCAGGGUGAGUCGACCCCUAAGGCGAGGCCGAAAGGCGUAGUCGAUGGGAAACGGGUUAAUAUUCCCGUACUUGGUGUUACUGCGAAGGGGGGACGGAGAAGGCUAUGUUGGCCGGGCGACGGUUGUCCCGGUUUAAGCGUAUAGG
rnacentral:rRNA from 1 species